rnacentral:rRNA from 1 species
UACGGAGGGGGCAAGCGUUAUUCGGAAUUAUUGGGCGUAAAGGGCGCGUAGGCGGCUAGAUGUGUCAAAGGUGAAAUCCCUCGGCUCAACUGAGGAACUGCCUUUGAAACUGUCUGGCUUGAGGCCGGGAGAGGGUAGCGGAAUUCCCAGUGUAGCGGUGAAAUGCGUAGAUAUUGGGAGGAACACCAGUGGCGAAGGCGGCUACCUGGACCGGUAUUGACGCUGAUGCGCGAAAGCCAGGGGAGCAAACGGG